rnacentral:rRNA from 1 species
GACGAACGCUGGCGGCGUGCUUAACACAUGCAAGUCGAACGGAAAGGCCCUGCUUUUGUGGUGUGCUCGAGUGGCGAACGGGUGAGUAACCCGUGAGUCACCUGCCCUUGACUUGGGAUAACUUCAGGAAACUGGGGCUAAUACCGGAUAGGAGCUCCUGCUGCAUGGUGGGGGUUGGAAAGUUUCGGCGGUUGGGGAUGGACUCGCGGCUUAUCCGCUUGUUGGUGGGGGAGUGGCUUACCAAGGCUUUGACGGGUAGCCGGCCUGAGAGGGUGACCGGCCACAUUGGGACUGAGAUACGGCCCAGACUCCUACGGGAGGCAGCAGUGGGGAAUAUUGCACUAUGGGCGGAAGCCUGAUGCAGCAACGCCGCGUGCGGGAUGACGGCCUUCGGGUUGUAAACCGCUUUCGCCUGUGACGAAGCGUGAGUGACGGUAAUGGGUAAAGAAGCACCGGCUAACUACGUG